GUGCCAGCAGCCGCGGUAAGACGAGGGAUCCUAGCGUUGUUCGGAAUUAUUGGGCGUAAAGCGGGUGUAGGCGGACUUAUAAGUCAGGUGUGAAAUCCCAGGGCUCAACCCUGGAAGUGCAUUUGAUACUGUAAGUCUUGAAUGUGGUAGAGGUUACUGGAAUUGUUGGUGUAGUGGUGAAAUACGUAGAUAUCAACAGGAAUACCGGAGGCGAAGGCGAGUAACUGGGCCAACAUUGACGCUGAGAUCCGAAAGUGUGGGGAUCAAACAGGAUUAGAUACCCUGGUAGUCCACACUGUAAACGAUGGAUACUUGUUGUUAGAGGUAUUGACCCCUCUAGUGACGCAGCUAACGCGUUAAGUAUCCCGCCUGGGGAGUACGGUCGCAAGAUUAAAACUCAAAUAAAUUGACGG
rnacentral:rRNA from 1 species